rnacentral:rRNA from 1 species
UACGUAGGGUGCGAGCGUUAAUCGGAAUUACUGGGCGUAAAGCGUGUGCAGGCGGUUUGUUAAGACAGGUGUGAAAUCCCCGGGCUUAACCUGGGAAUUGCGCUUGUUACUGGCAAGCUAGAGUGCGUCAGAGGGAGGUGGAAUUCCACGUGUAGCAGUGAAAUGCGUAGAUAUCGGAAGGAACACCAGUGGCGAAAGCGGCUUCCUGGUCCAGCACCGACGUUCAGGCACGAAAGCGUGGGGAGCAAACAGG